rnacentral:rRNA from 1 species
AACUUUCAACAACGGAUCUCUUGGUUCUGGCAUCGAUGAAGAACGCAGCGAAAUGCGAUAAGUAGUGUGAAUUGCAGAAUUCANUGAAUCAUCGAAUCUUUGAACGCACAUUGCGCCCCUUGGUAUUCCAUGGGGCAUGCCUGUUCGAGCGUCA